rnacentral:tRNA from 1 species
GGAUUGUGGCUCAGCGGUAGAGCACUCGCCUAGCACUUGCGAGGCACUGGGUUCGAUCCUCAGCACCA